UGGGUCUACCUCCUUCCGUUUUCUAUUUGUUCCUUCUGUGAUCCCUGUUUCCCUUUUCCUGCCUUCUUUUGGGCUAUUUAAAUAUUUUGUGGGUUCCAUUUUAUUUCAUCUAUUGAAUUUUUUAUCAUCUCUUUGUAUAGUUUUUUUUUAGUGAUUUCUUUAAGGAUUACAAUAUGUGUACUUAACUCUUCACAGUCUACCUAGAAUUAAUUUUACCACUUGAAGUGGAAAGGAGAAGCGGUGUUACUACACAGACCUUCUUACCCUGCCCUCUUUUUUUUUUUUUUUAAAGAUUUUAUUUUUCCUUUUUCUCCCAAAGACCCCCGGUACGUAGUUGUGUAAUUUUAGCUGUGGGUCCUUCUAGAUAUGGCAUGUGGGAUGCCGCCUCAGCAUGGCUUGAUGAGGAGUGCCAUGUCCGCACCCAGGAUUCGAACCGGUGAAAUCCCGGGCCUCCGAAGCAGAGCGCGUGAACUUAACCACUCGGCCACGGGGCCGGCCCCUCCUGCCCUCUUUUUAAAACAAAUUUUAUUUAGUACACUAAUGGUUCUUCUUUGAGGUAUAAGUUAUAUACAGUAAAAAGUACAAAUCUCAAAUACAUCACUGACUGAAUUUUCAUGCUCUCUCCUCUUUGCCUUGUAGUUCUCGCAUACACAUCAAUGUGGGUGAAAACCCUUCCUGACAAUGUUACCAGUUUUGCUCUCAACAGCCAUACAUAUGCUAAAGAUCAAAUAUCUGAAAUCUGUUACUCUUUCUUCCUUCUCGAAGUUUCAGUUUUCCUUAUGUGAUCAUUUCCCUUCCAGCAAAAUAACUCCCUGCAGCAUUUCUUUUAGAGCAGGCCUGCUGGCAACAGACUGUCUUAGUUUUGCUCCAUUUGAGAACGUUUUGAUUUUGCUUUCAUUCUUCAAGUGUAUUUUUAUUGGAUAAAGAAUUCUGGAUUGACAGCUCCUUUUUUCUGCCUUUAAAAAUGUCGUUUCUCUGUUUUCUGGCCUUCUUGAUUUCUGAUGAGAAACCCAUGAUCUUUUGUAUCCAUCUGUAUGCAAUGCAUAGUUUUUCUCUGGCUGUUUUCAAAAAUUUUAAAUUUGUUUUCAGUUUCCAACAGUUCGGUUAUGAUAUGUCUGGGCAUGGAUUUCUUUGGGAUUACGCUGUUUUGGGUUCACUGAGCUUUCCAAACCUGUAAGUUUAUACCUGUUGGCAAAUUUGGAUAAUUUCCAGCCAUUAUUUCCUAAAUAUUCUCUCUGCUGUCAUCACAAAGAAUGUGGCAGCAUUUCUAGCCACACUUAUGGUUCCAUCAGUUUCUCACUGUGAUUCUGUCCCAUAAUAAGGCUCUUGUGACCUAUCUGGUUUAAAAUAUUACAUCUUCCUAAUGCAUUGUUCCUUUUAUAAAAAUAGAGUGAUCUUCUGACCUUAAUAAUGCUUUUCUGCAUUAACAUCUGUUUUGUCUGAAUUUAACACAGCUCCAUUGGCUUCUGCCAGCCUCGUGCCUGCCCCAUACAUCCUUUCCUCUUCCUCUACCCUCAGCUUUUCCACUUAGAGGAGCAGAGCAGAGGGGUGUCUCUUCUAAAGAGCACGUGUCUGGAUGUGAAAGAAAUUCCGUCUGCUGGUGUUUGUCCUCCCUGGUUUGUGAGAGCACUAGAGCUUUGAAAUUGCUGGCGUAUUUGGAUGUGCUCUCGAAUCUGGCGGUGUAAACUGGGCUGGACACCUACACCCUCUGACCCCUCGUCCUCUCCUCUAUCAAACGGGAUGGUUGAGCUGCCCUCAGUGUUGUGUGAGGAUUAAAUGAGAUGACAUAUAUAAAUUAUUCGGCAGACUGGCCAACACAUGUAGGCCCUUAAUAAAGAUUCCUUUUUUCCCCUGACCCUGUCCCCCUUUAGACCGACAUGGGCAGACACGGACCUCACAACAAAGCGGGUGCCGGGGAUGCUCAGAGCACCAGGGGGAGGGAGAUUCAGCUCCUCAGGGACAGAGACGGGGAGAGUAGGGGCAGAGAGAGGUGGAGGCGUAUGCUACAGGUCAGAGCCAGUGGCCAGGCCCGGGGUCAGUGCUGUACAAAGCACGUCUUACGAUUCCACUUUAUAGGCGAGCAGCCACCGAGGUUUGAGGAAGUCACUUAUCCAUGGUCCCAAAAGCAGCACCGGGAGGAGUGGGGCUCUGCGGCCUGACCUUAGGCCCACGUCUUUUCCGCCCCCUGCAGCCUGUCAGAGGCCUGUGCGAUAACUUCCCUGGGAACGGGUGCCUGUUGUCGCUGUUUUUCCCUGUCUGUUGACUUUUCGCUCAGUCUCCCCUCGGCGGUACCUGUGUUUGGAUGUUUCUGGGACUCUCAGAGACCCUGACACCAGACCUGUCUCCCUGGCUCUCAACCUUCCUGUUCUCUUUUUUUUUUUUUUUUGAGGAAGAUUAGCCCUGAGCUAACUGCUGCCAAUCGUCCUCUUUCCGCUGAGGAAGACUGGCCUUGAGCUAACAUCCAUGCCCAUCUUCCUCAACUUUAUAUGUGGGAUGCCUACUACAGCAUGGCGUGCCAAAUGGUGCCAUGUCCGCACCUGGGAUCCGAACUGGCGAACCCUAGGCCGCCGAAGUGGAACGUUUGCACUUAACCGCUG
rnacentral:lncRNA from 1 species